rnacentral:rRNA from 1 species
AUUGAACGCUGGCGGCAUGCUUUACACAUGCAAGUCGAACGGUAACAGGCCUUCGGGUGCUGACGAGUGGCGAACGGGUGAGUAAUGCAUCGGAACGUGCCCAGAGGUGGGGGAUAACGCAGCGAAAGCUGUGCUAAUACCGCAUGUGAUCUGAUGAUGAAAGCGGGGGACCAGGCAGCAAUGUUUGGCCUCGCGCCUUUGGAGCGGCCGAUGUCAGAUUAGGUAGUUGGUGGGGUAAAGGCCUACCAAGCCGACGAUCUGUAGCUGGUCUGAGAGGACGACCAGCCACACUGGGACUGAGACACGGCCCAGACUCCUACGGGAGGCAGCAGUGGGGAAUUUUGGACAAUGGGCGCAAGCCUGAUCCAGCAAUGCCGCGUGCGGGAAGAAGGCCUUCGGGUUGUAAACCGCUUUUGUACGGAACGAAAAGGCUCUGGCUAAUACCUGGGGCUGAUGACGGUACCGUAAGAAUAAGCACCGGCUAACUACGUG